rnacentral:rRNA from 1 species
GGGUUGUGAGGUUAAGCGACUAAGCGUACACGGUGGAUGCCCUGGCAGUCAGAGGCGAUGAAGGACGUGCUAAUCUGCGAUAAGCGUCGGUAAGGUGAUAUGAACCGUUAUAACCGGCGAUUUCCGAAUGGGGAAACCCAGUGUGUUUCGACACACUAUCAUUAACUGAAUCCAUAGGUUAAUGAGGCGAACCGGGGGAACUGAAACAUCUAAGUACCCCGAGGAAAAGAAAUCAACCGAGAUUCCCCCAGUAGCGGCGAGCGAACGGGGAGCAGCCCAGAGCCUGAAUCAGUGUGUGUGUUAGUGGAAGCGUCUGGAAAGGCGCGCGAUACAGGGUGACAGCCCCGUACACAAAAAUGCACAUGCUGUGAGCUCGAUGAGUAGGGCGGGACACGUGGUAUCCUGUCUGAAUAUGGGGGGACCAUCCUCCAAGGCUAAAUACUCCUGACUGACCGAUAGUGAACCAGUACCGUGAGGGAAAGGCGAAAAGAACCCCGGCGAGGGGAGUGAAAAAGAACCUGAAACCGUGUACGUACAAGCAGUGGGAGCACGCUUAGGCGUGUGACUGCGUACCUUUUGUAUAAUGGGUCAGCGACUUAUAUUCUGUAGCAAGGUUAACCGAAUAGGGGAGCCGAAGGGAAACCGAGUCUUAACUGGGCGUUAAGUUGCAGGGUAUAGACCCGAAACCCGGUGAUCUAGCCAUGGGCAGGUUGAAGGUUGGGUAACACUAACUGGAGGACCGAACCGACUAAUGUUGAAAAAUUAGCGGAUGACUUGUGGCUGGGGGUGAAAGGCCAAUCAAACCGGGAGAUAGCUGGUUCUCCCCGAAAGCUAUUUAGGUAGCGCCUCGUGAAUUCAUCUCCGGGGGUAGAGCACUGUUUCGGCAAGGGGGUCAUCCCGACUUACCAACCCGAUGCAAACUGCGAAUACCGGAGAAUGUUAUCACGGGAGACACACGGCGGGUGCUAACGUCCGUCGUGAAGAGGGAAACAACCCAGACCGCCAGCUAAGGUCCCAAAGUCAUGGUUAAGUGGGAAACGAUGUGGGAAGGCCCAGACAGCCAGGAUGUUGGCUUAGAAGCAGCCAUCAUUUAAAGAAAGCGUAAUAGCUCACUGGUCGAGUCGGCCUGCGCGGAAGAUGUAACGGGGCUAAACCAUGCACCGAAGCUGCGGCAGCGACGCUGAUGCGUUGUUGGGUAGGGGAGCGUUCUGUAAGCCUGUGAAGGUGUACUGUGAGGUAUGCUGGAGGUAUCAGAAGUGCGAAUGCUGACAUAAGUAACGAUAAAGCGGGUGAAAAGCCCGCUCGCCGGAAGACCAAGGGUUCCUGUCCAACGUUAAUCGGGGCAGGGUGAGUCGACCCCUAAGGCGAGGCCGAAAGGCGUAGUCGAUGGGAAACAGGUUAAUAUUCCUGUACUUGGUGUUACUGCGAAGGGGGGACGGAGAAGGCUAUGUUGGCCGGGCGACGGUUGUCCCGGUUUAAGCGUGUAGGCUGGUUUUCCAGGCAAAUCCGGAAAAUCAAGGCUGAGGCGUGAUGACGAGGCACUACGGUGCUGAAGCAACAAAUGCCCUGCUUCCAGGAAAAGCCUCUAAGCAUCAGGUAACAUCAAAUCGUACCCCAAACCGACACAGGUGGUCAGGUAGAGAAUACCAAGGCGCUUGAGAGAACUCGGGUGAAGGAACUAGGCAAAAUGGUGCCGUAACUUCGGGAGAAGGCACGCUGAUAUGUAGGUGAAGCGACUUGCUCGUGGAGCUGAAAUCAGUCGAAGAUACCAGCUGGCUGCAACUGUUUAUUAAAAACACAGCACUGUGCAAACACGAAAGUGGACGUAUACGGUGUGACGCCUGCCCGGUGCCGGAAGGUUAAUUGAUGGGGUUAGCGCAAGCGAAGCUCUUGAUCGAAGCCCCGGUAAACGGCGGCCGUAACUAUAACGGUCCUAAGGUAGCGAAAUUCCUUGUCGGGUAAGUUCCGACCUGCACGAAUGGCGUAAUGAUGGCCAGGCUGUCUCCACCCGAGACUCAGUGAAAUUGAACUCGCUGUGAAGAUGCAGUGUACCCGCGGCAAGACGGAAAGACCCCGUGAACCUUUACUAUAGCUUGACACUGAACAUUGAGCCUUGAUGUGUAGGAUAGGUGGGAGGCUUUGAAGUGUGGACGCCAGUCUGCAUGGAGCCGACCUUGAAAUACCACCCUUUAAUGUUUGAUGUUCUAACGUGGACCCGUAAUCCGGGUUGCGGACAGUGUCUGGUGGGUAGUUUGACUGGGGCGGUCUCCUCCUAAAGAGUAACGGAGGAGCACGAAGGUUGGCUAAUCCUGGUCGGACAUCAGGAGGUUAGUGCAAUGGCAUAAGCCAGCUUGACUGCGAGCGUGACGGCGCGAGCAGGUGCGAAAGCAGGUCAUAGUGAUCCGGUGGUUCUGAAUGGAAGGGCCAUCGCUCAACGGAUAAAAGGUACUCCGGGGAUAACAGGCUGAUACCGCCCAAGAGUUCAUAUCGACGGCGGUGUUUGGCACCUCGAUGUCGGCUCAUCACAUCCUGGGGCUGAAGUAGGUCCCAAGGGUAUGGCUGUUCGCCAUUUAAAGUGGUACGCGAGCUGGGUUUAGAACGUCGUGAGACAGUUCGGUCCCUAUCUGCCGUGGGCGCUGGAGAACUGAGGGGGGCUGCUCCUAGUACGAGAGGACCGGAGUGGACGCAUCACUGGUGUUCGGGUUGUCAUGCCAAUGGCACUGCCCGGUAGCUAAAUGCGGAAGAGAUAAGUGCUGAAAGCAUCUAAGCACGAAACUUGCCCCGAGAUGAGUUCUCCCUGACUCCUUGAGAGUCCUGAAGGAACGUUGAAGACGACGACGUUGAUAGGCCGGGUGUGUAAGCGCAGCGAUGCGUUGAGCUAACCGGUACUAAUGAACCGUGAGGCUUAACCUUACAACGCCGAAGCUGUU